rnacentral:lncRNA from 1 species
CCGCCGCCUCUGCGCGCCCAGUACUUUUUAUGCACCACACUCACCGCCUCCUUCGCUCUGCGUCCUGAAAAGUGCGACUGGUCUCCGAAGGAAUCUCCAUGGAAAGUAGAGACCAGAAAGGGGUGUGGAUGUGUGUGUGGACGCCAGAUGGGUGGGUGCGAGUGUGGCCGGUUGCUCAGGAACCUGGCUAACUUUCCAGGUCCGUUUCCUGGGGAUUCGGGCAGCUCCCCCCACCGCUGCCCCCAGGCAGGCGCAGGGGCAGGGGCAGGAGCAGGAGCAGAGAUCUGAACAGGUGCGUCUCAGAUCUUGGCGACGGUGCCUCCUGCCAUCUGUGCCCUGCGCACUCCUUGCGCUGCCUCACUCAAACUUUCCUCUUGAGUUUUCCUUAAUGUGUUUUAUUUGGGGGGUGAGAGGGGGAGGGACCAGACGCGGGAAUUGGGCAAGUGGGGAGGUCGAGGGGGCAGAGGUAGCAGGGGAAGGAAGCGGAACUUUUCUCCAUCCUUUAAUAAGCCGCAUUACCACUUUGCUUGGGUCCAAUGCGAGAAUGCCCCCUCGCCCAGCUCCCCUGUGGAUCCCACCCAUUGGGGCCCCGGCUGGGUGGUACUCAGCGGGGAGCCCAAGGUGGCUGGCGGGACCGGGAAGGGGAUAUCCGAAUGAGAAAGGACCCGGACCCCCUACGCACCACACCCGGUUGGCCCGGCGGGGUGCCUGAGAGAGGCUGGAAGCCAGGGGCCCGCCGGGGCUCGGCUUACUUUCCUGGAGGGGAUGGGGGGUGAAAGGCGUGGAGGGGUGGGGGUGGGAUGGGAGAAGCCACCGCGGGCAGGAAGGAGGCAGGUGCUGGACGGGAGGUGGACUGCUCCAAACAAAGCGGAUAAACUCCCCGCUCCGCUGGGCCUGCCUGCCUGGCCUCAGAGCAGCCGGCCGGUGGGGGGGGGGGGGGUCUCCCGGGAUUUUCAGCUCCGGGACUCUCUCCCAGCGGUUCUACGGAGCAGGGUGUGAGGAUCUCCGUACAGACAGCAGCGCGUGGCUCUUUUCGUAGUUUUGUUUUUAGCUUAGAUCAGCCUUAAACUGAGUAACAAUUUCUCUUUCUCCGACCUGAGAACAAAACUUUUCAGCGAGCACGCUGGGCGCUGAGGUCCUGCGGCCACCGUCGCCGCGCUUGUCAGCCCAGGCGGAGCGACCCUUUCUGCCCGGAGACCAGCCCCGCCACCGCGCUCGCGAGGCUCUGGCCGUCCCCCUCCCCAGCCCCGGGCUUUUCAGGGCUCAUCCUGAGCGUUUCGCCUUUGUGCUUGAUAAUGGAAAGCCUUUUCUUCCAGGGCACAUCAAACUUGGGCAGAGAGCUUCCGUGUGGCCCCCGAGUGAGGCCGCCCGGGGCGAUGAGGCCAUCUGAGGGGAUGCCCGGACUCUUCCUCCACUCCAGGAGACCCUCCAAGUGCUCCAGUCCCGGGUGGACCCCGGCCAGCCAGCGCCCGUGGGAACCCCGAAGUAGCUGGGGCUUUGGCUGCCCAGAGGCAGGGGAAGAGCUCUCGCUUCUGUUCAGAACAUGUUCACUCGGGCCCUGGCCGCGGUUCCAGGGGAGGACCAGGGCCUGAGCCCUGACCCAGCCACGCGUCACACCACUCGGAAGCGUAGAGUGGGGAAGCUUGGAAUGGCACUCAGGCCUGCCGGGCCAGGCGGUCAGUCCGGGGUCUCUGGCCUAUGCCACCUCCUGCCCAGGAGCAGCUCAGAGGUGCUGUCUGCCCAUGGGCUCUCUCUGCCCACGAUGCCCACCAACCAAGUCUCGCCUCUUGCUUCCGCUCCGGACUCUGCUUGAAGGGGAAAGGGGAAAGAAAGGAAAAAUACAGAGAAAAAAGGGCGGGCUGGGGGGAAGCGGCGUGUAGGCUGGAGGGAACAGAGCAGGCAGGGGUGCGGGUCUCCUCCUCUGCCCGGCUCCGGGCUUCUUCCUGCAAAUGGAAAGGGAGCCAAAGGGGGAAAGGCAGAAAGAGCGUGGAGGAAAAAGGAUGCAAGCGUCUUACGUGCCUGGCCUUUCCGACCCGUGCAAACCUGGCGAAGGCGGCGUGGGUUCGCUUGCCGUACACCGGGGAGUGCGGGAAGGCCGAGGUCGGGGCAGCGCCUCACUGCCAGUGACAGACGGGGCUGGGCGCCGAGCGAGCUAGCGAGGGCACACACCUGUUGUGCAGGUUGCGUAGUGUGCGGCGGCCGAGCGGCUGCGACUGGAGAUGCAGAGCCCUCCCUCCCAAACCCCAGGCCCGCUGUCCUGGGACCGGGAGGGCCUGGCUGUCCCGCGCCGGCCCUCAUGCAGGAACCCUGCGAUCUGGGAGCUGGGUGGCUACCCGCCGAAGUGGUUGCACGCGGCGACGGGCCCCGGGUCACCCUCAGGGCAGGGCUGUUCAGGGGCACGAGGUCCGUGGACGUUGAUUGAAGGCAGCCUCUUCUGAGCCCCUGCCUCAUGGGUCCUGCCUGGCCGCCGACCAGGGCGCGUCACACUUAGCGGGUCUUCCCCGGCCGGCGCCUUGGUUCCCCAAAGUUACAAACAGAUGUUCCAAGUGGAGGUCGUUGGGAACCAAAGUAUUCUUUAUGCAAAGCCACCGCGAGCUGGAGGGAGAGGUCAGGCCGAGGACUGAUGGGUACAGCUCUGCACUGGCCCUAAGUUUAUGUAGGUCUCGCCUUCACUUCUUCUCCCUCUGUUUUCCCUGAAAGAGUUGGGUUUUCCAGGUGAAUACUCUUGGCGGCUGAAUUGUGCCCGCGCUCGCUGAGCUGCAGCCCUGCGGCCCCUCACUCUCCGACAGGCCGGUUGGUCUCGGCUUCUUAUCCGCUGGCCAAGCCGGGCCUGAAUCCGGAUCCAAACCUGGGAGCGGCCCCCGGCCACUUCUAAAUCGCUGGCGUUGACCCCAGCCUUCUGCUUCCUGAGCUCGUGCUUCUGGUGCUCAGAAUUUCUGCUGGAGCAGAGUUUCCAGAUACCACAAAAAAAAAAAAAAUCAUUUGUUCUAUUAUUUUAAUUCUUGCCUUUUGGAAACGGUACAUAGACCACAAAAAUGUCACCUGUUGUAAUAAGCAGAGGAGUGUGGUGCGUGAGUU